UACGUAGGGUGCAAGCGUUAAUCGGAAUUACUGGGCGUAAAGCGUGCGCAGGCGGUUUUGUAAGUCUGUCGUGAAAUCCCCGGGCUCAACCUGGGAAUGGCGAUGGAGACUGCAAGGCUAGAGUUUGGCAGAGGGGGGGUAGAAUUCCACGUGUAGCAGUGAAAUGCGUAGAUAUGUGGAGGAACACCGAUGGCGAAGGCAGCCCCCUGGGUCAAAAACUGACGCUCAUGCACGAAAAGCGUGGGGGAGCAAACAGG
rnacentral:rRNA from 1 species